UAGGACUGUUUAAGGUGCCAUUCGCAGUUUCACUUUACUGGCCGUGUGUACUUAAACUUGCAUGGCUUAAUCUUUGAGACAAGCAUAUGCUACUGGCAGGAUCAACCAGGUA